CCUACGGGGGGCUGCAGUGGGGAAUAUUGCACAAUGGGCGCAAGCCUGAUGCAGCCAUGCCGCGUGUGUGAAGAAGGCCUUCGGGUUGUAAAGCACUUUCAGCGGGGAGGAAGGCGUUAAGGUUAAUAACCAUGUCGAUUGACGUUACCCGCAGAAGAAGCACCGGCUAACUCCGUGCCAGCGGCCGCGGUAAUACGGGGGGUGCAAGCGUUAAUCGGAAUUACUGGGCGUAAAGCGCACGCAGGCGGUCUGUCAAGUCGGAUGUGAAAUCCCCGGGCUCAACCUGGGAACUGCAUUCGAAACUGGCAGGCUAGAGUCUUGUAGAGGGGGGUAGAAUUCCAGGUGUAGCGGUGAAAUGCGUAGAGAUCUGGAGGAAUACCGGUGGCGAAGGCGGCCCCCUGGACAAAGACUGACGCUCAGGUGCGAAAGCGUGGGGAGCAAACAGGAUUAGAUACCCGGGUAGUC
rnacentral:rRNA from 1 species